UACGUAGGGUGCGAGCGUUGUCCGGAAUUAUUGGGCGUAAAGAGCUUGUAGGCGGUCUGUCGCGUCUGCUGUGAAAAUCCGGGGCUCAACCCCGGACUUGCAGUGGGGUACGGGCAGACUAGAGUGUGGUAGGGGGAGACUGGAAUUCCUGGUGUAGCGGUGAAAUUCGUAGAUAUUCGGAGGAACACCAGUGGCGAAGG
rnacentral:rRNA from 1 species